AUUGAACGCUGGCGGAAUGCUUUACACAUGCAAGUCGAACGGCAGCACGGACUUCGGUCUGGUGGCGAGUGGCGAACGGGUGAGUAAUGUAUCGGAACGUGCCCAGUCGUGGGGGAUAACGUAGUGAAAAUUACGCUAAUACCGCAUACGAUCUAUGGAUGAAAGCGGGGGAUGGCAAGACCUCGCGCGAUUGGAGCGGCCGAUAUCAGAUUAGGUAGUGGGUGGGGUAAAGGCCCACCAAGCCAACGAUCUGUAGCUGGUCUGAGAGGACGACCAGCCACACUGGAACUGAGACACGGUCCAGACUCCUACGGGAGGCAGCAGUGGGGAAUUUUGGACAAUGGGCGAAAGCCUGAUCCAGCCAUUCCGCGUGCAGGAUGAAGGCCCUCGGGUUGUAAACUGCUUUUGUACAGAACGAAAAGGUUUCUACUAAUACUAGGAGCUCAUGACGGUACUGUAAGAAUAAGCACCGGCUAACUACGUGCCAGCCGCCGCAGUAA
rnacentral:rRNA from 1 species